rnacentral:miRNA from 13 species
CUAUACGACUUACUACUUUCC